rnacentral:rRNA from 1 species
ACGGCGAGUGAAGCGGGAAGAGCUCAUGUUGUAAAUCUGGAUGAGGGUUCCUCGUCCCGAAUUGUAGUCUAGAGAUGCGUGCUCAGCUACUCUCCAGGGCUAAGUCUGUUUGUGAAAGACAGCAUCAUGGACGGUGAUAAUCCGGUUCUUGCCUUGGAUGUUGUAGCGUUUUGAGCCGUCCUCAACGAGUCGAGUUGCUUGGGAUUGCAGCUCUAAGUGGGUGGUAAAUUCCAUCUAAAGCUAAAUAUUGGUGGGAGACCGAUAGCGAACAAGUACCGUGAGGGAAAGAUGAAAAGAACUUUGAAAAGAGAGUCAAAUAGUACCUGAAACUGCUGAAAGGGAAGCGAAUGAAGUCAGUGUUGCGCUUUGUGCUCUGCAUCCUCCCUGCGGGGAUUGUGUAUCGAGGACUUUGCGCUUGUCAGGAUGAGUUCUCUGCCGCGGGAUAUGUUUUGCGUGCUGGACGCUUCGGCUGAACAUGCAUUCUCUGUCGUGGCUUGGACUGAGGUUCCAUCUUGCCUUUGCCUAUGCGUUUAUCUCUCGUCGCUGUCUCUGUUCUACUGCUUGCAGUGCUCAGUUGCCGUGGUUGGACUUGGCGUAUUAUGCAUGC